AGGUACCCCUUAAUGGCACGCAGGCCAUUGGUAGUAACCUUUAGGAGUGAGGUCUGUCCCUCUAGUCUCCUAUGAAUUAGAUAGAGUCAAGCUGAUUUUUUCAGGUUGAUCUCUUUACAAAGGUGAGUGUAAACGAUACUGUGAUACAUUUACCUCAAAGUAUAGAUUUUUGGCAUUUCGCUAUGCAAUGCAAUGUUUAAAACAUAGAUGUGACUUCAACAGUUAGUCGACAUCGGGUAGCUAAUUUCCGGCUACUUUUCUUUCAAGCAAUCAUGUGUACUGAGUUGAUGUUUUCAUUAGAUACCGCCUGUCCUGGAUGACUCUUACACAAAAAUGGACAUAGAACGUUUAUAACAUUUAACUUUGGCUAACUUUAUAUUAAUCAGUAGGUAUUAUAUGCUUAAAUUUGGUACAGACUAGACGAAUCGAUUCUUUUUCAUAAUUUUGAACUAUUACUUCAUAUCUUUGAGGUUAUGGGUCGAUAUCUAAUUCUUUUUCCAUGCAAUAACAUAAAAUAGACAUAUUAUAAUAAACAUAAAAUUAUUUUUGGUUUUUCUCAUUGGUUUUUUACUUGGCAUACAUUUAUAAAUACAAUAUUUCCUUGAACAAUUUUACAAUUUUUGGCAUUUGUGAAGUUGGCACUUUUGCUUGAUGUGUUCUUUCGCUCACAGCUGAUUGUUGAUUUUUAUAAUCUCGAAACGAUUUCCUGUAUUUACAGGCUAAAUGCAUAACUUAAUAUCAUCAAUAUUUCAUUUAAUAAUAUUUAUAAUUUGUGCACAGAUUCUUAAUUGGACAAAUUUAUCCGGCUUUAUUUUCAAUAAUAAUUUCAUUUUCCAGGUCUGUAACAAUAUCCAUGGAGCUUUGUUUUGGUUUGAGUUGGAACUCGACCUCGCCUCGUUGUGGACAAAAUAUCAUAAUAUUUACACAGUGGAUCCGGGAUUAUGUGCGGUAACUGCUGCUCGACUUGGAUUUCAAGGAGACACUGGGUUGUUACUCUAAGGCGACGUUCUGGAUUGAUACCUGAUAGGUAUCGAAGGAGCGGCAUAUGGAGGUGAAGCGGUUGGUGCAUCCUGGAGCUCUAUCUGGGUGGACGAGUGCUGGCCCAGAUUAUUGGUGUUGAAACCCAUGGAGGAUAUGCUGCCGGGCUCACGACUCCUUGGGGUCUCCGCCUCGUCGUCCACUGGAAUGGGGGUGCUGGAUGGAGCGUCGUCGACUAUUGCCGCAUCCGCCUGCGCGCUGGGUCCUGAGGGUAGUGCUACUGGGUACGAGACAUCCGAAUUGGGGUUGGAGUCUUCCAUGGUGGAGUGGCAGAUUCUUG